GACGAACGCUGGCGGCGUGCCUAAUACAUGCAAGUAGAACGCUGAAGGAGGAGCUUGCUCUUCUGGAUGAGUUGCGAACGGGUGAGUAACGCGUAGGUAACCUGCCUGGUAGCGGGGGAGAACUAUUGGAAACGAUAGCUAAUACCGCAUAACAGUAGAUGUUGCAUGACAUUUACUUAAAAGGUGCAAUUGCAUCACUACCAGAUGAACCUGCGUUGUAUUAGCUAGUUGGUGGGGAAACGGCUCACCAAGGCGACGAUACAGAGCCGACCUGAGAGGGGGCUCGGCCCACCUUGGACUGGGACCACGCCCCGGCUCCUUCGGGGGGCAACCGUAGGGAAUCUUCGGCCAUGGACGGAAGUCUGACCGGGCCACGCCGCGUGAGUGGAGGAGGUUUUCGGGUCGUAAAGCUCUGUUGUAAGGGAAGAACGAGUGUGAGAGUGGAAAGUUCACACUGUGACGGUAUCUUACCAGAAAGGGACGGCUAACUACGUG
rnacentral:rRNA from 1 species